GGGCGCUGCUGCCGGCGGGGAUCUCCCAUCGCGGGGCUCAGCAGCAGCCGCGGUGCCCGUGCCCAUCCCGGCCCGUUUCUGGGUGAAAUCCCCACCCGUUUCUGGAUGAAAUUCCCGGCCCGUUUCUGAGUGACAUCCCCGCUGUUCCUGGGGCCCGGCACACCCCGAGGUUCCUCAUCCCUCGCACCCAGGGCCCGGCACACCCCGAGGUUCCUCAUCCCUCACACCCAGGGCCCGGCACACCCCGAGGUUCCUCAUCCCUCACACCCAGGGCCCGGCACACCCCGAGGUUCCUCGUCCCUCACACCCAGGGCCCAGCACACCCCGAGGUUCCUCGUCCCUCACACCCAGGGCCCAGCACACCCCGGGGUUCCUCGUUCCUCACACCCAGGGCCCGGCACACCCCGGGGUUCCUCGUUCCUCACACCCAGGGCCCGGCACACCCCGAGGUUCCUCGUUCCUCACACCCAGGGCCCGGCACACCCCGAGGUUCCUCGUUCCUCACACCCAGGGCCCGGACCCUGCCCGGGCUGUGGCCGGCUCUCCGUGCCCGGAGCUGUCUCGGGGAUGCCCGGCCGUGGCAUUGGUGUUCUUGUGUCACUCGGUGACCUCAGAGGUCUUUUCCCAUCUAACUGAUUCUGUGAUUUGUUUCAACCACUCCUGGUAAUGUAUCUUUGCGUUUCAAGCACUCAUCUGUUUACCGAAAUAAACCAGGGAAGUACAGUUCUGUUCA